rnacentral:rRNA from 1 species
CGUCUAUAUACGUAUAGCAUAUCAAUAAGCGGAGGAAAAGUGCUGCGGAACUGAACGACCGCUACCUACGCUUAGGAUGUUGACGAGACUGUCGAUCUCAUCUAUACAUGACUCUGUGCAUAUCAAUAAGCGGAGGAAAAGAAACUAACUAGGAUUCCCUCAGUAACUGGCGAGUGAAGCGGGAAGAGCUCAAAUUUGAAAUCUUCAAGGUUCUACCUUGACGAAUUGUAGUUUAAAGAAGUGUUUUCUGUUGGAGUUUUGGUAAAAGUUCUUUGGAAUAGGACAUCAUAGAGGGUGAGAAUCCCGUAUUUGACCAUUAUUUCCAGCGUUGUGAUACACUUUCAAAGAGUCGGAUUGUUUGGGAAUGCAGUCCAAAAUGGGUGGUAAAUUUCAUCUAAAGCUAAAUACUGGCGAGAGACCGAUAGCGAACAAGUACCGUGAGGGAAAGAUGAAAAGAACUUUGAAAAGAGAGUUAAACAGUACGUGAAAUUGUCAAAAGGGAAGCGUUUGACACCAGUGUUGUUUUCUCGAAAAUCAAUUAAAAAGUGUGGAUUUUGUAUUGUAAUUGACCUUAUCAGCUUUACUGCUACUUUUUUCCUGAUCUUUUUAAUGCACUUUUCGUUUAACAAGUCAACAUCAAUUUCUUUUGCUGUAAAAGAGUCAUUGGAAGGUGGCUUUCAUUUCGGAUGAAAGUGUUUAUAGCCUUUGACUUCUGCAAUCGGAGAGAUUGAGGUCUGCAGCGUAGAUCCUUCGGGGCUAGAUGACUUAGAUGCUAAGUUAUAGCUUUUUAUAGACAACUUGUUGACUACGAUUAAGUCAUGUAGCUUACUCGUUAUGCUCUAUUUUACCUACGCUUAGGAUGUUGACGAUCAGCUGAGCGCG